CUUGACCUCCCAGCUCAAGUGAUCCUCCCACCUCAGUGUCCUGAAUAGCUGGGACCACAGGAACUAGCAGCCUGGUGGUUCUCUCUCUGAUUGCUUCUUGGAGGAUGCAGCCUUGGAAGAUGGAAAUUCAGGAUCCUUCCUAAACAUCACCAGGCCAUUUCCCCAACUUGGAAACUUGGCUAUGCAAAAGGAACUCUGCUGUGAAAGGGGGAGUGCCUCUUUUGAUUUGCAAGGUACUUUCCUGUGUACAAGAUACAGUUCCAUGAGUUGAGGGGAUUCAAAGGUUCCCUUAAGGAGCAAUCAACUGUAGACUUGUAUGAAGGAAAAAGUUAUACCUCAAGGACUCAAUACACAAGAGGCCCAGGAGGGGAAUUUCAUUUCGCACUUCAUUUUUUUCUCAGAGCAAUUUCCGAUCUGUACUGCCAGAUGGCGCCCGUGAGCAGUGCCGCCCUUCCCUAAGACUUUUCUUUCCACGCUUCGGGAGCUAGGAACACUGGACGAGUAAGGGAAGAAGGCCUCAAGUGAACAUGCAUACAACUUCAGAGAACACUGACGGCGUGGCUCCUCCCAAGUUGCAAGAGAUAGACGCCUACUCAAACUAGCCUUAAAAAAAGAGACUGCAGAGUAGAAUAAACCGAGAGAGCUUUCUAAGGAAAAUGGGCCGGCGUUCCACACCAGAGUCUGCAAAUUCAACAAGUCGCAAGGUGGAACCUUUCUUGGCAUUCUUUCUCUCUCGGAUUUUCCUCCAAUGGAAGUAGGUCAGCCCUACCUGCAGAGUGGAGGAAACCUAACUGGACCACAGACAAGGUCCUUCAAUAUAAAGCCUUGUUCUAGUAUCUUAGUAGAUACAACCUGACAAGCAUCUUGUUGAAACUCACUUCCAGAAGAACCACAAGGAGAGUUUCUGGAGCACUUCUGUCAUCACCAUAAACAUGCCCAGUCUAGCCUGCCGGAAAAUGAAAGAACAGGCCAGCCUAGGUCAACUUAAAUCACCUGAACUCUAGAUAUGUGAGUCCAGCCAAGAUCAGCAGAGCCACCUGACCAACCCACAGCAAUUACAGCCCCAUGGAACAGUGACCUGGCCUUACCUGCUGCUGUCCCAGAUUCUAGAUGGAACCUGCAUGGAAGGGACAGCACAAACUACUGAGCAACUGGACAUAAUGCCCCCUCAGAUACUAUCAGGGACUUUUGGAAGCAACAGGGGCUAAUUUUAAUUCUUAUUUUCAAUAUUUUGCAAAUUGUCUAUAAUGAGUAUCUUCACUUUCAAAAUCAGAAAUUAAAAAUGUUAUUUUUUUCACUUUGCACAUGUGUGUUCCAGGAGUCUGUGUUAA